GAUGAACGCUGGCGGCGUGCCUAAUACAUGCAAGUCGAGCGAACAGAUGAGGAGCUUGCUCCUCUGACGUUAGCGGCGGACGGGUGAGUAACACGUGGAUAACCUACCUAUAAGACUGGGAUAACUUCGGGAAACCGGAGCUAAUACCGGAUAAUAUAUUGAACCGCAUGGUUCAAUAGUGAAAGACGGUUUUGCUGUCACUUAUAGAUGGAUCCGCGCCGCAUUAGCUAGUUGGUAAGGUAACGGCUUACCAAGGCAACGAUGCGUAGCCGACCUGAGAGGGUGAUCGGCCACACUGGAACUGGGACACGGUCCAGACUCCUACGGGAGGCAGCAGUAGGGAAUCUUCCGCAAUGGGCGAAAGCCUGACGGAGCAACGCCGCGUGAGUGAUGAAGGUCUUCGGAUCAUAAAACUCUGUUAUUAGGGAAGAACAAAUGUGUAAGUAACUAUGCACGUCUUGACGGUACAUAAUCAGAAAGCCACGGCUAACUACGUG
rnacentral:rRNA from 1 species